CCUACGGGAGGCAGCAGUGAGGAAUAUUGGUCAAUGGCCGUAAGUCUGAACCAGCCAAGUAGCGUGAGGGAAGACUGCCCUAUGGGUUGUAAACUUCUUUUAUGUGGGGAUAAAGGUUUCCACGUGUGGAUGUUUGCAGGUACCGCAUGAAUAAGGACCGGCUAAUUCCGUGCCAGCAGCCGCGGUAAUACGGAGGGUCCGGGCGUUAUCCGGAUUUAUUGGGUUUAAAGGGAGCGUAGGGCGGUAUUUAAGCGAGCCGUGAAAGUUUGUGGCUCAACCGUGAGAGUGCAGCGGAAACUGGCGGCCUUGAGUGCACGAAAGGCGGGCGGAAUUCGUGGUGUAGCGGUGAAAUGCUUAGAUAUCACGAAGAACCCCGAUUGCGAAGGCAGCCUGCCG
rnacentral:rRNA from 1 species